rnacentral:rRNA from 1 species
UUGGAGGGCAAGUCUGGUGCCCGCAGCCGCGGUAAUUCCAGCUCCAAUAGCGUAUAUUAAAGUUGUUGCAGUUAAAAAGCUCGUAGUUGAAUUUCGGGGUUAGUAGGUUGGUCAUGCCUCUGGUAUGUACUGGUCUCACUGAUUCCCCCUUCCUUAUGAACCGUAAUGCCAUUAAUUUGGUGUUGCGGGGAAUUUGGACUGUUACUUUGAAAAAAUUAGAGUGUUUAAAGCAGGC